UGAGUUGACUGGGCGGCCGCGACGGGCCUCGGCCCGCCGAGGAACGUCCGGGCUCCACAGGGCACGGUGGUGGGUAACGCCCACCCGGGGUGACCCGCGGGCAAGUGCCACAGAGAGUAGACCGCUGCCGGAGUUCGCUUCGGCAGUAAGGGUGAAAGGGUGGUGUAAGAGACCACCAGCGCACUGGGUGACCAGUGCGGCUAGGUAAACCCCACCGGGAGCAAGAUCAGACAGGAUGCGUAUCAAGGCGGCUCGCCUGAGCAUCCGGGUAGAUCGCUCGAGGGCGCCGGCAACGACGCCCCUAGAUGGAUGGUCGCCUCCCACCGACCGGCAACGGUCGGUGGAGACAGAACCCGGCGUAUAGGUCAACUCAUCCG
rnacentral:RNase_P_RNA from 1 species